rnacentral:lncRNA from 1 species
AUCCCCAACCCCUAGAUCUUGAUCUGGAUCCCCAACCCCUAGACCUUGAUCUGGAUCCCCAACCCCUAGACCUUGAUCUGGAUCCCCAACCCCUAGACCUUGAUCUGGAUCCCCAACCCCUAGAUCUUGACCUGGAUCCCCAACACCUAGACCUUGACCUGGAUCCCCAACCCCUAGACCUUGACCUGGAUCCCCAACCCCUGGACCUUGGCCUGGACACCCGACUCCUGGACCUUGCCCUGGAUCCCCGACCCCUAGACCUUGGCCUGGAUCCCCGACCCCUAGACCUUGGCCUGGAUCCCCGACCCCUAGACCUUGGCCUGGAUCCCCUAGACCUUGGCCUGGACCCCUGACCCCUAGACCCUGGAUAUGACUACUCAUGGCUUAACAUAGGCCACUCUAACCUCACUCCUCUGUCCUCAACUCGGAUAUGUAAUGUUAUCUCUGGACUUGCACAUUUACUGUAGUACUAGCUACAGGUUAUAGCUAGAUCAACACAUUUAGCAGCUACAGGUUAUAGCUAGAUCAACACAUUUAGCAGCUACAGGUUAUAGCUAGAUCAACACAUUUAGCAGCUACAGGUUACAGCUAGAUCAACACAUUUAGCAGCUACAGGUUAUAGCUAGCACUACUACUACCAACCUUGAGUUGUGGUUUGCUUUUGGACAAAAAAACACCACAAUCUGAAGUCUUGUUUUAAUGAAAUUUCUCUGAUUAACUUUAGGUCAAUUUAACUGACUUUUAAAAACUAUUUUUUGAAACCUGUGUUCUAAACAUGAAGUAAUGUCAUUACAUUUAGCUGAUCUUAGCCUAUUGUACAGCUCUGUUUUAAUGUGUUAUAACAUCACGUCAGUGUUAGUAUCCAUGUCAACAUCGGGACAUUCAACCUCCUGUCCAAUGAGAACUGUCGUGACAUGAUGAUUAUGGUUCAGAGUUCUUCAGUUUGUGUUGCAUUAUGGAAGAAAACAUGAGGUACAUGCGGAGAGGAUUGAAAACCUAUGGGUUCUCUUUUGGUACUUGUCUCUCAGUUGUAAAGUGUCAUUUAUUGAUUGAAUGUGUUGGAGACUGAAUUGUAUUGUCAUUGACUCACAUCAGCCGGGACCUGGUGUGGUUUUAUCAUUCAUGAGAAAAUAUUCUUCAAAACAACGUCUGUUUUUGAAUUGUGUCCGUUUUAACACCACCUCAAAUGGUACUGUAUCACAACAUUCACUGUUACAUUUUCUAUAAUUUGUUUUGUUUCUACCAAGCUUUGCUGUUUAGAAAUGUAUGGACAACUUGGUUGAUUACAUGGUUCAAUGUCUAUAAAGAAAGAUAUAAAUAAUGGCAUUAUGUAUUG